CGGCGCUCCAGGCUGGGUCACAGGCUUGCUCGAUGCGCUCCAGAACCACACUGUCCCACUGCUUCUUGGCCAGGGUGAACUGGCGAUUGGGCUCCAGCUCGAUGGUGUGGAGCUUCAUGAUCUUGGCAGGGGCUCACUGCCAGAACAAGAGGAACCGAGGGGGAUCCCCACAAGGAAAGGGGUAAGGAGGGGAAAGUUUAGGCCGGGAAGGGGGCGGGGUCCGGUUCCUACAGGCACUUGCCUGGCGGGAAGCAAACACUUUCUAUAUGACUCUAGCGGCCGGGGGGAACACUUACUCUAGCCCUUCCGUUUCGUGGUCUCGCGGCGCGCCGCGUCGAACCGGCGCAAGAGACACCGGCGAACACCUCCUCCGCGGUUCCUGGGGCCGUACAGACCGAGGCCGAUGCAGUGAGAGCGCAUGCGCAACCCACGUCCUGCCUCCCGGCGCACGUUUUACGUCCCCAAUGGGGAGGCGGGGCCGCAGCUUGCGCGUGCGCAGGCGCACUAAGCCGGGAGGUGUUUCCCGGAGAAUAAACCACCCAAGGAAAGUGCACGGAAUGUUUGGUGGCGACUCCUUCGUAUUAAUGCUGAAUUUGGACGUCCUAAGUUUUCUCUUCCACCCCUGUUUGUGAAGAAUCUGGGGAGUUUAUGUUAGAACAUUGAUCCCAGAGAAAGAAGAAACCAUCUGUGGAAUUUACCCCUGGAUGGACCUCUCAGUUGCUUGAUCUGAUGUCCUGAGAAUCCCAGAAUCCAAGGAGAACCCAGCAGCUUUUCACUGAGCAAGGAACUGAUCACACUGAAGUCUUCCUUUUUAAAGGGAGAGUAUUCAGAGGAAGCUCUGCUCUUGGAAUCUGGUGAGGUUGCUGGUGCCAGAGGAGCAAUUAUCCCCUGAAUUAGAUACAGAUUUGGCUCUGGAAGAGAACUGAGAAGGGGGACAAUGUUCACAUCUUUGUACCUAGAAGGAGUGUGUCUGAAAUCUUAUGAUGCAUGUUUUAAAAGUACAAAGAAAUGUGAUAGAAAAUUGCAUGUAGGUAUACUGCAUGUUAUUUAUUAUAAUUUUCAGAUGUAUAUUUUCCCACAUUUCAACAUCUCUUGAAACUUGGAGGCAUCUAACCAUUUAGCAAUUAUAAUUGGAUUGGCAGUACUUUUCUUUCUUAAUAGUACAUAAAAUAACGGUGCAUCAUUCAAUUGAUGGUGUCUUCCAUUCAGUUAGAUAUAAAUAUGGGUAGAUGGAAAUAGGUAGGUGGGGAUAUAAUUAAAAGAGACAACCUGACCCCUUAAGUAUUAUUAUGAGUUUGUCUGUAGUCUAGUCUUUUGUGACUCGUUCAAUAACAAAUUUUCAAGUGACUAUUAUUCUAAGAUGGUAGAGAUAAUAAACAAAGACCCUAUCCUCACAGAGCAUACAGCGAGCUGGGAAAACAGACAAUUAGAUGUUUAAUUUUAAUAUGUGGUGUAUUAUAGAAGCAAAAGUGCUAAGGGCAUACAAGUCUCUGGGGGAGGGGGUCCAGUCUACUCCAGUGGGUUCUUGGAAAUCACAUUCAUAUGGGGACUUGAGGAUCAGUAGCAGUGUAACUGCUUAUGCAAAAGCCUGGAGACUUCAGAGGAGCUGGCACAAUAGAGGAGCUGAAAGAAGCUCAAUAAUCAUGAGGAUGAGAAUAUAUUCAGCUCAUUUACAUCUGUUGAUACUCUACUGUACUUGCUUCGAGAGCGAAUACAAUUCUCCAGUCACAGACCACUCUGAAUAGGCAGCGUAUUCUGACUUUAGCAUUGUGACAACAGUUCCAAAUAUCUUUCCUCUCAAUUUCCUAACAUGAAUUCAGAUACACUAUUUUGUAUUUCAUACCACAGAAGAGCAGUGUAGGUAAAGAAUAGCAUUUUGAUGCCUAGUUUUCUGAAUAUAUUUAAAACAUGAGCUCCUUUAUUUUAUAAAAUACUUAAGGGGCAUAUUAAAAUUCAGCAAGUUCUACAUCUAGUGGGAAGCUUGUUGGGUUGAGGUGCUGGAACACAGGUAGAGGAACAUCCAUCUAAGGAAGUAAGAUCCACAGUUAUAAGUUGUGGUCCAAGAGCUCAUGCAUCAAAAUAGCAUCAUGACAGCAGGGAAGAAAAAUAGGCAAACUAGUUUGGCAUAUAUAUUUUAUUGCUACUGUCACUGCCUAUUUAUUAAACAAACAAACAAAAGUCCUAUGAAUUUAUUGCUGCCUUUACAGACAUCAUAAUGACUUAAAUAUUUUCACUGUCUUCCAUUGUGUGUCAUUGGAGGUCAUUUCUUUGUUAUGGGUAAGUGGCUGACUUCCUUCCAUAUCCAGCCAUUAGCUCACUUCUUUUAGAAUAGGAAAUCUUGCCUGUGAAAAAUGUCACAAAAGAAGACUCCUGCUUUCAGGCUAACUAAAAUGUUUCUAGGGAGGAAAAAUAUAUAACUCAAUUAGGGAUAAUUCUACAUUUGUAUUCUUAAUAACCAGAGAUAGUAGUCUUAUUUGAGUUACAAUUAAUGUAGGGAGAGACAUCAUCUAAUUUCACUAUAUACCUAAAAGUCAUGGAAAUAACAGACUCACUUCACCACUAAUUAGAUCCUUAUCAAAGUCUUUUAGAUAAUUAUGCUUGGAUUUAACAUUUAGAGGGCUAAGCAAGAGAGAAAUGGACUUACAUUUAGACAGCCUGGUAUAUUAUUUCAGAGCAUGAGAGAUCUGAAUUGAGUACAAGCUUUGCGGUUUAUUAAUUGGGAGACUUUGGUCAAAUUAGGCUCUUAGUAUUUUGGUUUGUUCAUCUCUAAAAUAUGGAUAAUAGUUCCAGAAUUUUCCCUUUUUUGAGAUUAAAAUGUAAUAUGUGCAAAGUUCUUGGCACAGGGCCUCUUAUCUAAUACAUUCUCAGAAAAUAUGUGCCUUUCAGCAAUAAGUUGUGCUAGUUUUUCUCUGUUAUUGUUUGUCUUGACCCUUGUCCCCUGGGAGUUUGAAUUCUGCCAUUUGGACAUGGCCAUUGGGAUGGCCGGGCAAGGCAUUAGGGGGUAGAAGGAAAAGCAGGGGUAUUCAUUUCCCUUGCUUUCUCCCUGCUAUGCUUCAACUUUGGCACUAGCUGUAUUCUUCUUCUU